rnacentral:rRNA from 1 species
GAUGAACGCUGGCGGCGUGCCUAAUACAUGCAAGUCGAGCGAACUGAUUAGAAGCUUGCUUCUAUGACGUUAGCGGCGGACGGGUGAGUAACACGUGGGCAACCUGCCUGUAAGACUGGGAUAACUUCGGGAAACCGAAGCUAAUACCGGAUAGGAUCUUCUCCUUCAUGGGAGAUGAUUGAAAGAUGGUUUCGGCUAUCACUUACAGAUGGGCCCGCGGUGCAUUAGCUAGUUGGUGAGGUAACGGCUCACCAAGGCAACGAUGCAUAGCCGGCGUGAGAGGGUGAUGGGCCACACUGGGACUGAGACACGGCCCAGACGCCUACGGGAGGCAGCAGUAGGGAAUCUUCCGCAAUGGACGAAAGUCUGACGGAGCAACGCCGCGUGAGUGAUGAAGGCUUUCGGGUCGUAAAACUCUGUUGUUAGGGAAGAACAAGUACGAGAGUAACUGCUCGUACCUUGACGGUACCUAACCAGAAAGCCACGGCUAACUACGUGCCAGCCGCCGCAGUAAAAC